AUAUUUUGAACCGCAUGGUUCAAAAGUGAAAGACGGUCUUGCUGUCACUUAUAGAUGGAUCCGCGCUGCAUUAGCUAGUUGGUAAGGUAACGGCUUACCAAGGCAACGAUGCAUAGCCGACCUGAGAGGGUGAUCGGCCACACUGGAACUGAGACACGGUCCAGACUCCUACGGGAGGCAGCAGUAGGGAAUCUUCCGCAAUGGGCGAAAGCCUGACGGAGCAACGCCGCGUGAGUGAUGAAGGUCUUCGGAUCGUAAAACUCUGUUAUUAGGGAAGAACAUAUGUGUAAGUAACUGUGCACAUCUUGACGGUACCUAAUCAGAAAGCCACGGCUAACUACGUGCCAGCAGCCGCGGUAAUACGUAGGUGGCAAGCGUUAUCCGGAAUUAUUGGGCGUAAAGCGCGCGUAGGCGGUUUUUUAAGUCUGAUGUGAAAGCCCACGGCUCAACCGUGGAGGGUCAUUGGAAACUGGAAAACUUGAGUGCAGAAGAGGAAAGUGGAAUUCCAUGUGUAGCGGUGAAAUGCGCAGAGAUAUGGAGGAACACCAGUGGCGAAGGCGACUUUCUGGUCUGUAACUGACGCUGAUGUGCGAAAGCGUGGGGAUCAAACAGGAUUAGAUACCCUGGUAGUCCACGCCGUAAACGAUGAGUGCUAAGUGUUAGGGGGUUUCCGCCCCUUAGUGCUGCAGCUAACGCAUUAAGCACUCCGCCUGGGGAGUACGACCGCAAGGUUGAAACUCAAAGGAAUUGACGGGGACCCGCACAAGCGGUGGAGCAUGUGGUUUAAUUCGAAGCAACGCGAAGAACCUUACCAAAUCUUGACAUCCUUUGACAACUCUAGAGAUAGAGCCUUCCCCUUCGGGGGACAAAGUGACAGGUGGUGCAUGGUUGUCGUCAGCUCGUGUCGUGAGAUGUUGGGUUAAGUCCCGCAACGAGCGCAACCCUUAAGCUUAGUUGCCAUCAUUAAGUUGGGCACUCUAAGUUGACUGCCGGUGACAAACCGGAGGAAGGUGGGGAUGACGUCAAAUCAUCAUGCCCCUUAUGAUUUGGGCUACACACGUGCUACAAUGGACAAUACAAAGGGCAGCGAAACCGCGAGGUCAAGCAAAUCCCAUAAAGUUGUUCUCAGUUCUGAUUGUAGUCUGCAACUCGACUACAUGAAGCUGGAAUCGCUAGUAAUCGUAGAUCAGCAUGCUACGGUGAAUACGUUCCCGGGUCUUGUACACACCGCCCGUCACACCACGAGAGUUUGUAACACCCGAAGCCGGUGGAGUAACCUUUUAGGAGCUAGCCGUCGAAGGUGGGACAAAUGAUUGGGGUGAAGUCGUAACAAGGUAGCCGUAUCGGAAGGUGCGGCUGGAUCACCU
rnacentral:rRNA from 1 species